GCGAAAUUCUGAGUCUCUGGAUUCCCUAGUUAGAGUCUUAACCUGGGUUCCUGAGACAUGAAACCUCCAGUGGGGUAAAUGCUGCACUGAGCUACUGAUGGGGCGAUUUUCAGAGUCCCCACAGCAAAGGAUAUUAGUCUUGGAAUCAUUCCACAUCAUGCAUCGUCUGUUUGUCUGAGUCACGCUAUUGUUGGACACUUGGACCCGACCUGAAUCAUCUCAGUUUUAAAUCAGCCAAGAAUCAUCUCAAUUUCACUUUCUUUACCCACCCAACCUGAUAU
rnacentral:lncRNA from 1 species